rnacentral:rRNA from 1 species
GUAGGAUGCAAGCGUUACUCGGAUUUAUUGGGUGUAAAGGGCUCGUAGGUGGCCCUGUAAGUCAUAGGUGAAAGCCCUCGGCUUAACCGAGGAAUUGCCUAUGAUACUGCAGGGCUUGAGUACUGGAGAGGGAAGCGGAAUUCCUGGUGUAGCGGUGAAAUGCGUAGAUAUCAGGAGGAACACCGGUGGCGAAGGCGGCUUCCUGGACAGAUACUGACACUGAGGAGCGAAAGCGUGGGGGUAGCAAACAGGAUUAGAUACCCUGGUAGUCCACGCCCUAAACGAUGGGUACUAGGUGUGAGGACGAUUUAAAGUCUUCGUGCCGCAGCUAACGCAAUAAGUACCCCCACCUGGAAGUACGGCCGCAAGGUUG